UCCGUAGGUGAACCUGCGGUUGGAUCAUUAAUAAAUAGAGUUUUGAACUCGCGCUGAUUCACUUUCGGGUGGAUUGGUAAACCCCUGUGCAUUGUUUGUUUCCUUUGGGAAAUCUCUACUUUUUAUACUGACUGAAUCAAUAGAUUUAAAUUAAAAAACAACUUUUAACAACGGAUCUCUUGGCUCUCGCAACGAUGAAGAACGCAGCGAAAUGCGAUACGUAAUGUGAAUUGCAGACCGUGAAUCAUCUAAUCUUUGAACGCAUAUUGCGCUUUCUGGUAUUCCGGAGAGCAUGCCUGUUUGAGAAUCGACAAAACAAAUCAACCUGUUGGAGUGACACAAUUGUGUGACUUUGAAAGGUUUGGACUUGGGCAGUUGUAUUUAUUUACAACGUCUGUAAAAUAGCGUCGACCUUGGCUUCAUUGUUACUUGGAACGUGUUUAACUGAUGCAAAUCAACUCUACAGACCACUUAACGUCAAAUGAGAAGAGGGCGAUUUUAUGACAACUUUAAUUAACAUUAAAACAAUUGGUCUCAAAUCAGGCAAGAGUACCCGCUGAACUUAAGCAUAUCAAUAAGGCGGGGGAGGGGAAGGGUCGGACUGGCCCAAGGGGCACACAGGGGGGAU
rnacentral:rRNA from 1 species